rnacentral:rRNA from 1 species
ACGCACGCUGGCGGCGUGCUUAACACAUGCCCGUCGCACGGUGAAGCUCCAGCUUGCUGGAGUGGAUCAGUGGCGAACGGGUGAGUAACACGUGAGCAACCUGCCCCUGACUCUGGAAUAAGCGCUGGAAACGGCGUCUAAUACUGGAUACGAGAAGGGUCCGCAUGGGCACUUUCUGGAAAGUUUUUCGGUUGGGGAUGGGCUCGCGGCCUAUCAGCUUGUUGGUGAGGUAAUGGCUCACCAAGGCGACGACGGGUAGCCGGCCUGAGAGGGCGACCGGCCACACUGGGACUGAGACACGGCCCAGACUCCUACGGGAGGCAGCAGUGGGGAAUAUUGCACAAUGGGCGAAAGCCUGAUGCAGCGACGCCGCGUGAGGGAUGACGGCCUUCGGGUUGUAAACCUCUUUCAGCAGGGAAGAAGCGAAAGUGACGGUACCUGCAGAAGAAGCACCGGCUAACUACGUG